rnacentral:rRNA from 1 species
CAUUUAUACGGCGAAACUGCGAAUGGCUCAUUAAAUCAGUUAUCGUUUAUUUGAUAGCACCUUAUCUACUUGGAUAACCGUGGUAAUUCUAGAGCUAAUACAUGCUAAAAAUCCCGACUUCACGGAGGGAUGUAUUUAUUAGAUUAAAAACCAAUGCCCUUCGGGGCUCUUUGGUGAUUCAUGAUAACUAUACGGAUCGCACGGCCUUGCGCUGGCGAUGGUUCAUUCAAAUUUCUGCCCUAUCAACUUUCGAUGGCAGGGUCUUGGCCUGCCAUGGUGACAACGGGUAACGGAGGGUUAGGGCUCGACCCCGGAGAAGGAGCCUGAGAAACGGCUACUACAUCCAAGGAAGGCAGCAGGCGCGCAAAUUACACAAUUCCGAUACGGAGAUGUAGUGACGAUAAAUACUGAUACAGGGCUCUUUUGGGUCUUGUAAUUGGAAUGAGUACAAUUUAAAUCCCUUAACGAGGAACAAUUGGAGGGCAAGUCUGGUGCCAGCAGCCGCGGUAAUUCCAGCUCCAAUAGCGUAUAUUAAAGUUGUUGCAGUUAAAAAGCUCGUAGUUGAACCUUGGGCCUGGCUGGCCGGUCCGCCUCACCGCGUGUACUGGUUCGGCCGGGCCUUUCCCUCUGGGGAACCUCAUGCCCUUCACUGGGUGUGCUGGGGAACCAGGACCUUUACUGUGAAAAAAUUAGAGUGUUCAAAGCAGGCCUAUGCUCGAAUACAUCAGCAUGGAAUAAUAGAAUAGGACGUGCGGUUCUAUUUUGUUGGUUUCUAGGACCGCCGUAAUGAUUAAUAGGGACAGUCGGGGGCAUCAGUAUUCAAUUGUCAGAGGUGAAAUUCUUGGAUCUAUUGAAGACUAACUACUGCGAAAGCAUUUGUCAAGGAUGUUUUCAUUAAUCAGGAACGAAAGUUAGGGGAUCGAAGACGAUCAGAUACCGUCGUAGUCUUAACCAUAAACUAUGCCGACUAGGGAUUGGACGAUGUUAUUUUUUGACUCGUUCAGCACCUUACGAGAAAUC